rnacentral:rRNA from 1 species
GAUGAACGCUGGCGGCGUGCCUAAUACAUGCAAGUCGAGCGAACAGACGAGGAGCUUGCUCCUCUGACGUUAGCGGCGGACGGGUGAGUAACACGUGGAUAACCUACCUAUAAGACUGGGAUAACUUCGGGAAACCGGAGCUAAUACCGGAUAAUAUAUUGAACCGCAUGGUUCAAUAGUGAAAGACGGUUUUGCUGUCACUUAUAGAUGGAUCCGCGCCGCAUUAGCUAGUUGGUAAGGUAACGGCUUACCAAGGCAACGAUGCGUAGCCGACCUGAGAGGGUGAUCGGCCACACUGGACCUGAGACACGGUCCAGCCUCCUACGGGAGGCAGCAGUAGGGAAUCUUCCGCAAUGGGCGAAAGCCUGACGGAGCAACGCCGCGUGAGUGAUGAAGGUCUUCGGAUCGUAAAACUCUGUUAUUAGGGAAGAACAAAUGUGUAAGUAACUAUGCACGUCUUGACGGUACCUAAUCAGAAAGCCACGGCUAACUACGUG